CACGUAGGGUGCGAGCGUUGUCCGGAAUUAUUGGGCGUAAAGAGCUCGUAGGCGGUGUGUCGCGUCGGCCGUGAAAACCUGCAGCUUAACUGUGGGCGUGCGGUCGAUACGGGCAUCACUGGAGUUCGGCAGGGGAGACUGGAAUUCCUGGGGUAGCGGUGAAAUGCGCAGAUAUCAGGAGGAACACCGGUGGCGAAGGCGGGUCUCUGGGCCGAUACUGACGCUGAGGAGCGAAAGCGUGGGGAGCGAACAGG
rnacentral:rRNA from 1 species